rnacentral:rRNA from 1 species
GCUACAGGCUUAACACAUGCAAGUCGAGGGGCAUCAGGAAGAAAGCUUGCUUUCUUUGCUGGCGACCGGCGCACGGGUGAGUAACACGUAUCCAACCUGCCCUUUACUCGGGGAUAGCCUUUCGAAAGAAAGAUUAAUACCCGAUGGCAUAAUGAUUCCGCAUGGUUUCAUUAUUAAAGGAUUCCGGUAAAGGAUGGGGAUGCGUUCCAUUAGGUUGUUGGUGAGGUAACGGCUCACCAAGCCUUCGAUGGAUAGGGGUUCUGAGAGGAAGGUCCCCCACAUUGGAACUGAGACACGGUCCAAACUCCUACGGGAGGCAGCAGUGAGGAAUAUUGGUCAAUGGGCGCUAGCCUGAACCAGCCAAGUAGCGUGAAGGAUGAAGGCUCUAUGGGUCGUAAACUUCUUUUAUAUAAGAAUAAAGUGCAGUAUGUAUACUGUUUUGUAUGUAUUAUAUGAAUAAGGAUCGGCUAACUCCGUGCCAGCAGCCGCGGUAAUACGGAGGAUCCGAGCGUUAUCCGGAUUUAUUGGGUUUAAAGGGAGCGUAGGUGGACUGGUAAGUCAGUUGUGAAAGUUUGCGGCUCAACCGUAAAAUUGCAGUUGAUACUGUCAGUCUUGAGUACAGUAGAGGUGGGCGGAAUUCGUGGUGUAGCGGUGAAAUGCUUAGAUAUCACGAAGAACUCCGAUUGCGAAGGCAGCUCACUGGACUGCAACUGACACUGAUGCUCGAAAGUGUGGGUAUCAAACAGGAUUAGAUACCCUGGUAGUCCACACAGUAAACGAUGAAUACUCGCUGUUUGCGAUAUACAGUAAGCGGCCAAGCGAAAGCAUUAAGUAUUCCACCUGGGGAGUACGCCGGCAACGGUGAAACUCAAAGGAAUUGACGGGGGCCCGCACAAGCGGAGGAACAUGUGGUUUAAUUCGAUGAUACGCGAGGAACCUUACCCGGGCUUAAAUUGCAGUGGAAUGAUGUGGAAACAUGUCAGUGAGCAAUCACCGCUGUGAAGGUGCUGCAUGGUUGUCGUCAGCUCGUGCCGUGAGGUGUCGGCUUAAGUGCCAUAACGAGCGCAACCCUUAUCUUUAGUUACUAACAGGUUAUGCUGAGGACUCUAGAGAGACUGCCGUCGUAAGAUGUGAGGAAGGUGGGGAUGACGUCAAAUCAGCACGGCCCUUACGUCCGGGGCUACACACGUGUUACAAUGGGGGGUACAGAAGGCAGCUAGCGGGUGACCGUAUGCUAAUCCCAAAAGCCUCUCUCAGUUCGGAUCGAAGUCUGCAACCCGACUUCGUGAAGCUGGAUUCGCUAGUAAUCGCGCAUCAGCCACGGCGCGGUGAAUACGUUCCCGGGCCUUGUACACACCGCCCGUCAAGCCAUGGGAGCCGGGGGUACCUGAAGUACGUAACCGCAAGGAUCGUCCUAGGGUAAAACUGGUGACUGGGGCUAAGUCAUAAC